rnacentral:lncRNA from 1 species
AAUUUAUAAUUUUGCACCACUUAAAUGAAAAUAUGCUAUCAAUAUAAGUAAUUCGCUACAAAUGCUAUUUUGAAAUUGGAAUCGGUUUGUUUUAUUAAAUAUAGUGGUUGAUUUAAUUUUAUAUUUCAAUAAUAAUAGGAGUAUAUGACUAUUUUUAUUAUUAUAAAUGUAAUCAUGCUUAUUUUUAUAUAGACCAAGUUCAUAUAUUAUUCAUUAUUGUAAUUUUUUUGUGCCACUUUUAUCUUGUGUAAUUUUGAAAGUGCAGUAGGUAUUGUACCAAUUUAUGUCAUUAACAUAAACGAGAGAUGUAUAACUGAAAAAAAAUAUUUCAUGUGAAUAUGUUUAUUAUCAAAUGUAUUGGAAGGUUUAAGUGUUAUAUACAACUGUGAUGUAUGAUAGAUGAAGGAUUGCAAUAAUUGUUUUUUAACAGUAAAUAAUUCAUUGUAAUUAUCCAAAACAUUUGGGGUAUCACAACCACAACCAAAAAUAAAAGUAUAAAUCACCAAUAGAAAGCACAAAAAAACUUCAGUAAAUUAGAGAUAGUGAAGAGAAAAUGCAAGUUUAAAAG